CAUCGUGUAGAGACAACAGGGAUUGCCUUAGUAACGGCGAGUGAAGCGGCAACAGCUCAAAUUUGAAAUCUGGCCCUUGGGUCCGAAUUGUAAUUUGUAGAGGAUGAUUUUGGUGCGGUAUCUUCCGAGUUCCUUGGAACAGGACGCCUUAGAGGGUGAGAGCCCCGUACGGUUGAAUGCCUAGCCUCUGUAAAUCUCCUUCGACGAGUCGAGUAGUUUGGGAAUGCUGCUCUAAAUGGGAGGUAAAUUUCUUCUAAAGCUAAAUAUUGGCCAGAGACCGAUAGCGCACAAGUAGAGUGAUCGAAAGAUGAAAAGCACUUUGAAAAGAGGGUUAAAUAGCACGUGAAAUUGUUGAAAGGGAAGGAUUUGUGACCAGACUUUUUCUGGGCGGAUCAUCCGGGGUUCUCUCCGGUGCACUUCGCCCAGUAAAGGCCAGCAUCGGUUUUCGGCGUGGGAUAAAAGCAGUAGGAAUGUGGCUCUCUACGGGGAGUGUUAUAGCCUAUUGUAUAAUACCGCGCUGGGGACCGAGGUUCGCGCUUCUGCAAGGAUGCUGGCGUAAUGGUUAUCAAUCACCCGUCUUGAAACACGGACCAAGGAGUCGAACAUUUGUGCGAGUGUUUGGGUGUUAAACCCUCACGCGUAAUGAAAGUGAACGGAGGUGAGAGCCCUUACGGGUGCAUCAUCGACCGAUCCUGAAGUUUUCGGAUGGAUUUGAGUAAGAGCAUAACUGUUCGGACCCGAAAGAUGGUGAACUAUGCGUGGAUAGGGUGAAGCCAGAGGAAACUCUGGUGGAGGCUCGCAGCGGUUCUGACGUGCAAAUCGAUCGUCAAAUCUGCGCAUGGGGGCGAAAGACUAAUCGAACCAUCUAGUAGCUGGUUACCGCAAUCUCCCCCCCCCGAGAU
rnacentral:rRNA from 1 species